GUGCUUGCUUUAGCAGCAUAGAUAAUAAAAUUGGAACCAGAGAAGGCUAGCAUGGCCCCUGAGCAAGCAUGACAUGAAAAUUUGUGAAGUGUUUCAUGAAAAA
rnacentral:snRNA from 1 species